rnacentral:lncRNA from 1 species
GGGAAGAAUUAGGAAAGAGGACACGCAAGACCACAGUAAGAGAUGGAAAUAAGAGAAUAUUCCUGAUUUCCACUGGAUGACUUUGACUGGUAUGAUUUCAUUCUCUGAAAGUGUUAACCAGGGUGCAGCAUGGCCAGAAACCAUUCCGAGCCUCAUGAAGUGGGCAAGUCAGGUUUGGUCAUUUUUGUUCUACUGGCUUUGAAGAAGCAAGCUGCUAUGAUGUAAACUGACUAUGGAGAAGGCCACGUGACAGGGAAUUGGGUGUAGACUCUAGGAACUGAGGUCUUAAUCCUACAACUGCAAGGGGAUUAAAGUCUACCAACAACCACCUGGGCUUGGAAGAGGACCGCUGAUCUCCAGAUGAGAACGGAGCCUGACCAACACCUUGAGUGCCACCUUGUGAGACUCUGAGCAAAGACCCAGCUAAGCCACACUUAGACUCUUGACGUACAGAAAAUGCAGAAGAGGAGAAGGAAGAGGAGAGGUUGUUCCUCUCAGGGGUGGCAGAUGUGGAAGAAAAUUCAUGUGUAAUGUCAUUGCAUGUACACAGUUUAAGACAGAGCAUCUGGUGAUUCUCGGACCUUCAAGCAAGUGUCACAUCUCAGGGUGUGAGGUUUGGAGGGCCUCUCGUCAAAACUUUGGAGGGCUCUGUCAGUUUGAAAAGAACAUGACCUUUAAAUUGUAUCAGUAUGUUUGCUGGUGCAUAAGGGAGAGGAAAAGGUUCGUCCUGAUGGAAAACCACUCAGAAGCCAAGGAGUAAUUCAGAGGGAACCAGCCCAGGAAGAAUCAAGAAAGCUGCCCACAGUGUCAUUCUUCAGCUGAGAAAAGAGAGAGUUGACUAACUCCUCGGACUGGAGUGAGGACUCACAGAGGUGGUAGGACACUAACCAUCUAUGUCUCCAUUUCCUGGGUUGUAACACUGAGGUAGAACAUCUCACUGUCCCAUGGAGGAUUAUGUUAUUUUUGGAGAUUAAUAAUUUUGGAGGAAGAAAGGUGGCUUCCUGAAAAGGAAGUCACAUGAAGAAGCAACUUACACGGUGGUCUCUUUAAAUAAACAUAUUGUGA